rnacentral:rRNA from 1 species
CCCUUAGAUGUCCGGGGCCGCACGCGCGCUACACUGAAGGAAUCAGCGUGGCUUCUCCCUGACCCGAAAGGGUUGGGAAACCCGUUGAAUCUCCUUCGUGAUAGGGAUUGGGGCUUGAAAUUGUUCCCCAUGAACGAGGAAUUCCCAGUAAGCGCGAGUCAUAAGCUCGCGUUGAUUACGUCCCUGCCCUUUGUACACACCGCCCGUCGCUACUACCGAUUGAACGGUUUAGUGAGGGCCUCGGAUUGGUCUCGGCCCGCUCUUUACCGGGCGGCGCCGUUGGUCGAGAAGACGCUCGAACUUGAUCGUUUAGAGGAAGUAAAAGUCGUAACA